rnacentral:rRNA from 1 species
GAUGAACGCUAGCGGCAGGCUUAAUACAUGCAAGUCGAACGGGAUUUAGGGUAGCAAUACUUUAAUGAGAGUGGCGCACGGGUGCGUAACACGUAUGCAACCUACCUUUAACUGGAAGAUAGCCCCGGGAAAUCGGGAUUAAUAUUUCAUAACACUGCGAAAUGGCAUCAUUUUGCAAUUAAAGCUCCGGCGGUUAAAGAUGGGCAUGCGCGACAUUAGCUAGUUGGUGAGGUAACGGCUCACCAAGGCUACGAUGUCUAGGGGUCCUGAGAGGGUUAUCCCCCACACUGGUACUGAGACACGGACCAGACUCCUACGGGAGGCAGCAGUAAGGAAUAUUGGUCAAUGGGCGCAAGCCUGAACCAGCCAUGCCGCGUGCAGGAAGACGGCCCUAUGGGUUGUAAACUGCUUUUAUCAGGGAAUAAACCUUUGUACGAGUACAGAGCUGAAGGUCCUGAAGAAUAAGCAAUCGGACUAACCCGUGCCAGCAGCCGCGGU